rnacentral:rRNA from 1 species
UGCGUAGGCGGAUUAAUAAGUCAGUGGUGAAAUCUCUCAGCUCAACCGGGAAACUGCCAUUGAUACUGUUAAUCUUGAGUUCGGUUGAGGUAGGCGGAAUGUGUAAUGUAGCGGUGAAAUGCUUAGAUAUUACACAGAACACCAAUUGCGUAGGCAGCUUACUAGACCGACACUGACGCUGAGGCACGAAAGCGUGGGUAGCGAACAGGAUUAGAUACCCUGGUAGUCC